rnacentral:lncRNA from 1 species
GAAACAUACUUUUUCCUGCAUUUUCAUUUCUAAUUUUAGUAUUCCAUAUCUCUUCCAACAGGAAAACCCAAGAUACUGCUGAAACAUUCCUUAAGUGUACCAAGCUGACUAGUCUACUUAUUAUGUAACUGAGAUAAUGAGUUCUGAUUGAAUGUCUACAUGUAAUAUCUCUUCACUUCAGUAAAAGAAAACAGUGGUUGAAAGAAACAGCUCCUGGAUUUACUCCUUCCUAAGACCCAAGCUCUAUCCUCUAGAUUUUUUCAGUCUCUUCAGCAACUAUUUAGAUCAUAAGAGCUUUUUUGUUCUCUUUUGUUUUUUUUUGCUGUUGUUGAUGUCAGACUUCACAUUCAUUCAGUACCUCAUGCUCAGCAGCAGACAUAAAUCAGCUGGCUCACAUCCUACGCAAAUAUCAGAAACAAACACUUGAGUCAGUGUUUAGGUAUGUACCUUGUAAUUGCAUGCUCGCUACAUAUCAAAGAGCAACACCAAAAUCUUUCUUUAAACACCUUACAAUUCAACAAAUAAGACUUUCCAUGUGAAAAUUCUUUUAAGCCCCAGCUUGGGACAAGAAGGAUGAUUUUAGAUUUUUUUUUUGCAGCAUUACUCAUCCUCACGAGUGGGCCAAAAUUUAUGCAAGGAGCAACGAAGUUCUCAGAUGUGUUCUCCAGGAGCUUCAGACAGAUGCUGAAUCACUGCACAAAGGGGGAAACGAGCCGUUUCGAAGAAUCACAAGCCAACAAAUUCACCAGCAGAAACGGGAGAGAAGGGGCAUUGCAGAAUCAUUUCAAGAGGACCAGUAGCCGCUGCAUGCUGGUGAGAGCCAUUCCAGACCUUAUGCUUGUAAUUGGCACUCGAAGGUGCUUUUGCUUUUUAUGUUUCCAAGUGAGC